CCUGGCUCAAUAUGAACGCUGGCGGCGUGCCUAACACAUGCUAGUCGAGCGAAGCACUUUGCUUAGAUUCUUCGGAUGAAGAGGAUUGUGACUGAACGUCGGACGGGUGAUUAACGCGUGGGUAACCUGCCUCAUACAGGGGGAUAACAGUUAGAAAUGACUGCUAAUACCGCAUAAGACCACAGCACCGCAUGGUGCGGGGGUAAAAACUCCGGUGGUAUGAGAUGGACCCGCGUCUGAUUAGCUGGUUGGUAAGGUAACGGCUUACCAAGGCGACGAUCAGUAGCCGACCUGAGAGGGUGACCGGCCACAUUGGGACUGAGACACGGCCCAAACUCCUACGGGAGGCAGCAGUGGGGAAUAUUGCACAAUGGGGGAAACCCUGAUGCAGCGACGCCGCGUGAGCGAAAAAGUAUUUCGGUAUGUAAAGCUCUAUCAGCAGGGAAGAAAAUGACGGUACCUGACUAAGAACCACCGGCUAAAUACGUGCCAGCAGCCGCGGAAAUACGUAUGGUGCAAGCGUUAUCCGGAUUUACUGGGUGUAAAGGGAGCGUAGACGGAUGGGCAAGUCUGAUGUGAAAACCCGGGGCUCAACCCCGGGACUGCAUUGGAAACUGUUCAUCUAGAGUGCUGGAGAGGUAAGUGGAAUUCCUAGUGUAGCGGUGAAAUGCGUAGAUAUUAGGAGGAACACCAGUGGCGAAGGCGGCUUACUGGACAGUAACUGACGUUGAGCCUCGAAAGCGUGGGGAGCAAACAGGAUUAGAUACCCUGGUAGUCCACGCCGUAAACGAUGACUACUAGGUGUCGGGUGGCAAAGCCAUUCGGUGCCGCAGCAAACGCAAUAAGUAGUCCACCUGGGGAGUACGUUCGCAAGAAUGAAACUCAAAGGAAUUGACGGGGACCCGCACAAGCGGUGGAGCAUGUGGUUUAAUUCGAAGCAACGCGAAGAACCUUACCUGCUCUUGACAUCCCGCUGACCGGACGGUAAUGCGUCCUUCCCUUCGGGGCAGCGGAGACAGGUGGUGCAUGGUGGUCGUCAGCUCGUGUCGUGAGAUGUUGGGUUAAGUCCCGCAUCGAGCGCAACCCCUAUCUUUAGUAGCCAGCGGCCAGGCCGGGCACUCUAGAGAGACUGCCGGGGAUAACCCGGAGGAAGGUGGGGAUGACGUCAAAUCAUCAUGCCCCUUAUGAGCAGGGCUACACACGUGCUACAAUGGUGUAAACAAAGGGAAGCGAGACCGCGAGGUGGAGCAAAUCCCAAAAAUAACGUCUCAGUUCGGAUCGUAGUCUGCAACUUGACUACAUGAAGCUGGAAUCGCUAGUAAUCGCGAAUCAGAAUGUCGCGGUGAAUACGUUCCCGGGUCUAGUACACACCG
rnacentral:rRNA from 1 species